ACGACGGACGCUUUUGAGAGCUUCACGUUUCAAUCAGUGUAGAUUGCUUGCAACAUAUGCACGGAGUUCAGCAUAAACUCCCAGUAGGGAGCCUUGCAUAGGACGUGGAAUCACUGACGAAAGUGUCGGAGAUGGCGCCGUGGGCUUUCGUUAUCAUCGCAUUGGUACCGGCUGUCGUCGUCGGUCAGGUAGAGCCGAGGCAAGGGGCACCGCAGCUCGCCGGCAGACUUGGGAAGGCUCGGUCACAGAACUCCAUUCCUCUCUUCUUGCAAGGCCGGCAGUCCAAUUCCGCGGAAUGCUAUGGCUUUUGCAAGGGAAUGAUAGGUGGCUGCGAAACCCAUCCUCGGUGUGUUUGUGUCCGUCCCGUCGGUGGUCAACAUCCGGUGUGCGCCCCGAGGUACGGUUAAUGAUAAUCAGCAACCGAGAAGCAGAAAUCAGCCUCGCAAUAA